rnacentral:rRNA from 1 species
GACAGAGGGUGCAAACGUUUGUUCGGAAUUACUGGGCGUAAAGCGCGUGUAGGCGGCCAUCUAAGUCGGGCGUGAAAUCCCACGGCUCAACCGUGGAAGUGCACUCGAAACUGGAUGGCUAGAGUCCUGGAGAGGAAGGUGGAAUGCUUGGUGUAGAGGUGAAAUUCGUAGAUAUCAAGCGGAACACCGGUGGCGAAGGCGGCCUUCUGGACAGUGACUGACGCUGAGACGCGAAAGCGUGGGGAGCAAAGCAGGA